GGUUUGAUCGUAUAAAGGUUAGUACACAAGAUUCUGAUCCAGUCAUGCAGCUCCUCCUCGAGCUCGUGAGUGACUAGAAUCGUUCUUGUAAUCUGGGUUCGAUUCCCAGUCAGACCU